rnacentral:lncRNA from 1 species
AUGCAGAUAUAUGAGCAGCAUCAGUAGGACAAUUUUGGUGGCAAAUUUUUUUAGUGCCUUCUGCUUUGCAACUUUGAGACCCCAAUGGUGCUGGACUUCCGAUUUCUAAAAAGAAGUUCGAUCUAUAUGUGAGACUACCUGUCAGAUCUGUCUCCUCGGAGCAGCUAGGGUUUUUUAUGAACCUUAAAUUUAGGUUAUCUUACUGUCCUGUGAUGACUGACGGCGUAACCUGUAUUCUGUUGACCGUAUAUGAUCAUUAGCGAAACCUUAAGCUUAGGUUACUUUGAGUAAUUAAAAAGUGUGGCUGCGGGGUAUCUCUGAUAUCUACAGUAAUUAUAUAGUUCUCAGGUUUAUUUGCCUUUCUGCAUUUUUUGGUUGGCUGCCUUUUGCAAAGGAAAGGCAAACGUAUUGAUAUAUGAUGUUUUUCCCUUUUGUUUAUGUUCUUUUUGACUAGCAUGUAUUUCCUGGUGACUGAUUUCAAAUAGACUAUUGAGGCAAACUUGCAUAUGUUCUUGCUGGUCCGUCAGAUUCUUCUAAACUCUACGCUUGUCUACUUGUUAAGCAUAUCGAUGAAAUGACACGACCACUGAGUCUGAGUCUUCAUGACCUCAAUGAGUGGACUCUGAGUCUUCUUUCUCGUUUGCAGAUGUUGCCCACCAAUUAAAGCCAACUUGAACAGUCGAGGUUGCAGAGGAAUUUCCCUCAUGCUCUUAUGAUUUUUGGCAUCAGAGUGAGUCGAGUUGCAUUUGCAACUACAUGCUCUUUUUCUUUUACAGGCAUUGUACUUUUUGCCCUGUUCUUUCCAUCAUUGUUUCGCUAAUUCUUUUUAUCAUAUUUUAUUUGACAGGAAGAUGAUUUAGAUACACCAGGUUCUAAUUUUGCACACAUUUUUAUGAAGUUUCUGUUGUUUAGUUUUUGAAUGGUAACUUCAUAAAUUUGGAACAACCUAAGUAUCAGCUUCUAUUUGGCUUGUUGAUUCUAUCAUGCAAACGGUCAAUAUGAUGUAGCUCGUUCGUCUGCUUACACAUGUAGUAUCAAGCCUAGAUAUUAAGAGGUUUUUAGCCUUUGUAGUGUGCAGGAGAUUAUGAUGGAUGUUGUCAUAGGUUCAUAAAGUUCAUAGAGAAUUCAAUUUUAUUAUGAGUAUGCUGUUACUUUUUUUUUUUAAUCUAAUAUAGCAAAACUAAGUUUGCUUGUAAACUUAAAAGAGUGGUUUGGAAUAUCACAAUUGGGUUUCCGUAUUUGUUUUCUCCAACAUUGAAGGGUAAAUGCUACACCAAUUAGGUUUUUCGAAGAAAAGUCCUUAAGGACCCUUUCCAGUUGUAGUUCUUGAGAGAUAUCUGAAUUGUAUGGCUUAUCUAAGAUGAUAUUUUCUUCAUAUUGAUUAAUCUCCUUAAUUUCUGUUGUGGAAAUGUAGUUCUAAUAUCUAGCCGGUCUUUGUUGUUGUUCUGAGAAUGAGAUGAUGAAUCAGUUAUCUCAAUUGUUGACAUGAUAAUAUAUACGUUAAGCAAAGUCUUGCAUGUCAUCCAAAUUAAUUUUAUGAAACUAGAGCCUGAAAUUUUGUAUAACUUAAUAUUUUAAUUUCUCACGAGCAUUCAUUUUAUUUUCAACACUGUAUUCAUUUUCUAGAUGGAAGCUGCUGCAGUAAAUCUAGUUGCGGCAGAGAAACCUGCUGAUGUUUAUUCAAAAAUUGCUGCAAGGUAUGGUAGUAAUGGUACAUGGCCUGGUGAAACAUUUUUGGUGUUGUUAGACUUGCAAAAUACCAUUACAUUGCUUUUCUCAGUGUGAAUGUUAAGAGUUAUACUAUUGCCUGGACAGUUACUAA